AAGCGCACGUAGGCGGUUUUCUAAGUUCGAUGUGAAAUCCCUCGGACUCAAUCCAGGAAGUGCAUUGAAUACUGGAAGGCUAGAGUAUAGGAGGGGAGAGCGGAAUUCCUGGUGUAGAGGUGAAAUUCGUAGAUAUCAGGAGGAACAACAGUGGCGAAGGCGGCUCUCUGGACUAUAACUGACGCUGAGGUGCGAAAGCGUGGGGAGCAAACAGGAUUAGAUACCCUAGU
rnacentral:rRNA from 1 species